GUAGGGAAUAUUGGGCAAUGGUCGGAAGACUGACCCAGCCAUGCCGCGUGCAGGAAGACGGCCCUCUGGGUUGUAAACUGCUUUUAUCUGGGAAGAAAAAGGCCAUGCGUGGCAAAUUGCCGGUACCAGAUGAAUAAGCACCGGCUAACUCCGUGCCAGCAGCCGCGGUAAUACGGAGGGUGCGAGCGUUGUCCGGAUUUAUUGGGUUUAAAGGGUGCGUAGGCGGCUGAUUAAGUCAGCGGUGAAAGACUUCGGCUUAACCGGAGCAGUGCCGUUGAUACUGGUUGGCUUGAGUGUCGGAGGGGUACAUGGAAUUGAUGGUGUAGCGGUGAAAUGCAUAGAUACCAUCAGGAACACCGAUAGCGAAGGCAUUGUACUGGCCGACAACUGACGCUGAUGCACGAAAGCAUGGGUAGCGAACAGGAUUAGAUACCCUGGUAGUCC
rnacentral:rRNA from 1 species